rnacentral:rRNA from 1 species
ACUCCUACGGGAGGCAGCAGUGGGGAAUAUUGCACAAUGGGCGCAAGCCUGAUGCAGCAACGCCGCGUGAGGGAUGAAGGCCUUCGGGUUGUAAAGCCUCUUUUAGCAGGGAAGAAGGCGAAAGUGACGGUUACCUGGCAGAAAAGCACCGGGCUACUACGUGCCAGCAGCCGCGGUAAUACGUAGGGUGCAAGCGUUGUCCGGAAUUAUUGGGCGUAAAGAGCUCGUAGGGCGGUUUUGUCACGUCUGGC